rnacentral:rRNA from 1 species
GACGAACGCUGGCGGCGUGCUUAACACAUGCAAGUCGAACGGAAAGGCCCUGCUUUUGUGGGGUGCUCGAGUGGCGAACGGGUGAGUAACACGUGAGUAACCUGCCCUUGACUUUGGGGUAACUUCAGGAAACUGGAGCUAAUACCGGAUAGGAGCUCCUGCUGCAUGGUAGGGGUGGGAAAGUUUCGGCGGUUGGGGAUGGACUCGCGGCUUAUCAGCUUGUUGGUGGGGUAGUGGCUUACCAAGGCUUUGACGGGUAGCCGGCCUGAGAGGGUGACCGGCGACAUUGGGACUGAGAUACGGCGCAGACUCGUAUGGGAGGCAGAAGUGGCGAAUAUUGCACAAUGGGCGGAAGCCUGAUGCAGAAGCGCCGCGUGCGGGAUGACGGCCUUUGGGUUGUAAACCGCUGUCGCCUGUGACGAAGCGUGAGUGACGGUAAUGGGUAAAGAAGCACCGGCUAACUACGUG